rnacentral:lncRNA from 1 species
UGAACAUUCCAGGCUCUGUGAACUAAGUGACUGAAGCUGAUUGACACAGGUCAAGGGGACUUCAAGGAAGAAAGCCAGCCUUAGACUGACAUCAGAGAACCAAACUCCGGUGUCUAAGCUCAAGAGGUUAGAAUCCUGAGAACUGUUUGGAAUAAGGAAUCCAAAUAUUGUCUUCCAGCUUCACCUUGUCACGACAGUCCUCGCCAGGGACAGCUGAGACCUCUUCUCUGCCUCCCAGCUCCCAUGGCGCCUCUCUCGAUACGUGGCCUCUUCUGAUACUUACCUCAGCUUGGACACAGCUCUCUGAAGAUCAUCUACAUCUCCAUUUAUGCCGUGUGCACGCAGUACCAACAGAGGUCAGAGGAGGGUGUCGGAUCCCCUGGAACUGGAGUCACAGAUUCUUCCUUGCGUGGAUGAAACAGUCCCAACGAACACUUUAAAAAGACAAAUGUUCCCGACAGCACUGGUUGAAUUCAAAACUCGGCAGAUCCAUGUUCUUAUCCUUAGACAAGAGAGGGGCCAUAACAAGAUGGAAUGACGGAACAGACGUGAGAGAUGAUGGUACAGUGACUCGGGUAACCCCAGAAAAGGGACAGCUCUUCUACAGCUCAGUGGGGACAGGGACAAAAAGAAACAAUUUCAUUUCAGUCCACCCAGAGGGUCUGCACUUCUCGGAGCCAGAAGGUGGAGAAGAGUAGGGAUGGAGGAAGUUCGAAGUUUUAGGAGUCUGCUCUUGGGUCCCUAGGCAUGAGGACAAGCUUUUCCUGUACUCAAUGCUCAUCUCUCAGUUGUGCCCACAUUGGUACACAUUACUUGCUUUCAACUGCUGCUGCUGCUGUUUCCUAAUUCAAUAAAGAUAUGGCUGGCUCAGCAGAGAGCUGUCAUCCA